AUUGUCAAGGAACUGUGGAUUCUUGCUCUUUUAUUAUAUACGUAAUGGUGGAGUCUGAUUUCUUAUUUUUCAUUCUAAUUGCAGUCUAGGCAAAAAGCACUUGUAGACUUACAGCAAAUGCAGAGCGUGCAUCUUGAGAAGCUGAGUGACAUACAGUGCCAACCUGAGUCACAGCUAAAGUUCAUAACAGAGGCCUGGCUUCAGAUCGUUGAGUGCAGGCGUGUUUUGAAAUGGACAUAUGCUUAUGGAUAUUAUUUACCACAGCAUGAACAUGCCAAGAGACAGUUCUUUGA